rnacentral:lncRNA from 14 species
CCAGGCUGUAGUUUGAAAGAGGUGUUAAUCAGUGAUCCUCUGACAAGGAGCAGUGAGUUGGAGGGAAGUUUCAAUGACCAAGUGUCUGCAACCUGUCACGGCUGUAAAGAGAGAAACAAAUCAAGUACUUGUGGAUGCUAUUCAAUAGCACAAGGCACACGCAGCCCCCAAGGACAUGAAUAUUCAACAGGUGUAACUAAUUACCAACACACCUGUAAGCAGUGUUUCCUAGAAGAGCUAUCACGUAUUUCUUCUGUAAUAAAGGA